UACGUAGGGGGCAAGCGUUGUCCGGAAUCAUUGGGCGUAAAGAGCGUGUAGGCGGCUCGGUAAGUCCGCUCUGAAAGCCCGGGGCUCAACCCCGGGAGGCGGGCGGAUACUGUCGGGCUAGAGUCCGGAAGAGGAGAGUGGAAUUCCUGGUGUAGCGGUGAAAUGCGCAGAUAUCAGGAAGAACACCCGUGGCGAAGGCGGCUCUCUGGGACGGUACUGACGCUGAGACGCGAAAGCGUGGGGAGCGAACAGG
rnacentral:rRNA from 1 species